UUUCCGUAGGUGUACCUGCGGAGGGAUCAUUACAGAGUUCAUGCCCUACCGGGUAGAUCUCCCACCCUAUGUUAUUAUUACUUUGUUGCUUUGGCGGGCCGUUAGGCUCCGGCCCGACUACCGGCCCCGGCUGGUAAGCGCCCGCCAGAGGACCCAAAACCCUGAAUAUUAGUGUCGUCUGAGUACUAUAUAAUAGUUAAAACUUUCAACAACGGAUCUCUUGGUUCUG
rnacentral:misc_RNA from 1 species